UUGCCUUUCCAUAAGCGGAGGAAAAGAAACCAACAGGGAUUGCCUCAGUAACGGCGAGUGAAGCGGCAAAAGCUCAAAUUUGAAAUCUGGCUGCUUUUUUAGUAGUCCGAGUUGUAAUUUGAAGAAUAGAUCCUUGGAGAGGCGCCUUGUCUAUGUUCCUUGGAACAGGACGUCGCAGAGGGUGAGAAUCCCGUUUGGCGAGGUGUGCUGAUCCGUGUAAGGGCUGUUCGACGAGUCGAGUUGUUUGGGAAUGCAGCUCUAAGUGGGUGGUAAAUUCCAUCUAAAGCUAAAUAUUGGCGAGAGACCGAUAGCGAACAAGUACAGUGAUGGAAAGAUGAAAAGAACUUUGAAAAGAGAGUGAAAAAGUACGUGAAAUUGUUGAAAGGGAAGGUUAUUAGAUCAGACUUGGAUUUUUUAUUAUAUUUGUCUCCUUGUGGGGCAUUCACUAAUUUUUAAUCCAGGCCAGCAUCGAUUGGGAUGGCGGGAAAAAGAGGGAGGAACGUGGCUGUGCAUUUAUGUGCAGUGUUUAUAGCCUUUCUUAAUACCGCCUGUCUCGAUCGAGGACUGCGGCAAAUUUAUUUUUGCCUAGGAUGCUGGCGUAAUGAUCUAAUAUCGCCCGUCUUGAACCGGGCCA
rnacentral:rRNA from 1 species